AUGCUCAAGCUUCGCGUUCUAGGACUUGCCACGGUCGAGCGUGCUAGGAAACGUCAAGCCUCGCGUGUCGCUUAGCUGCGGGUCGGCGAUGCACGGACGGCUUUCUUCCAAGCGAAGAUCAAUUCUAGGAGGCAAAAAAACUUCAUCCACGCCAUUCACACGCCGGUAUCCGUGGUUACCUCACACGACAACAAGGCAAAGGCAAUCCACGACCACUUCAGCACCACCCUGGGGGUUGCGCCCGUCAAAAACACCACCAUCGAUUGGGGUUCGAUCAACCUGCCCACCCUGCUGGUGGCGGGCCUAGAUAACCCCUUCUCAGAGAUGAGGUGUGGCAGGCAAUCUGCAGCUCGCCCCAGGAGAAAGCGCCUGGGCCAGAUGGAUUCAACGGAACCUUCUUCCGAACAUGUUGGCUGA
rnacentral:rRNA from 1 species